rnacentral:siRNA from 1 species
UGGCACACGCGUGAUGAG